GACGGACGCUGGCGGCGUGCUUAACACAUGCAAGUCGAACGAAGAGCGAUGGAAGCUUGCUUCUAUCAAUCUUAGUGGCGAACGGGUGAGUAACGCGUAAUCAACCUGCCCUUCAGAGGGGGACAACAGUUGGAAACGACUGCUAAUACCGCAUACGAUCUAAUCUCGGCAUCGAGGAUAGAUGAAAGGUGGCCUCUACAUGUAAGCUAUCACUGAAGGAGGGGAUUGCGUCUGAUUAGCUAGUUGGAGGGGUAACGGCCCACCAAGGCGAUGAUCAGUAGCCGGUCUGAGAGGAUGAACGGCCACAUUGGGACUGAGACACGGCCCAGACUCCUACGGGAGGCAGCAGUGGGGAAUCUUCCGCAAUGGACGAAAGUCUGACGGAGCAACGCCGCGUGAGUGAUGACGGCCUUCGGGUUGUAAAGCUCUGUUAAUCGGGACGAAAGGCCUUCUUGCGAAUAGUGAGAAGGAUUGACGGUACCGGAAUAGAAAGUCACGGCUAACUACGUG
rnacentral:rRNA from 1 species